rnacentral:misc_RNA from 1 species
GUUCAUCUCUUCGAUGGAUUUCUCCGAGCAAGAUGUAGAUAUAUUCGGCGAAGAGUAUGAAAACGAGGACGACGACGACAAUGACAACAACGACGACAACGACCAUGACCGCGAUGCUCCUGCCUCCUCCUCCCAAUCUUCGUCGUCUUCGGAUUCUUCCUCGUCUUCGGAUUCCUCAUCGUCCAAUGCUAGCGAUGGAGGCGACAGCAGUAGUGGAGGUAGUGGGAGUGCGAGUAGUGCUGAAGAAGACGACCAGGAAAAUGGCGGCGAAGUACAGCAGAAUGUACACAGG